UACGUAGGGUGCGAGCGUUUUCCGGGAUUCUUUGGCGUAAAGCGCUUGUAGGCGGUUUGUCUCGUCUGCCGUGAAAAUCCGGGGCUCAACCCCGGACUUGCGGUGGGUACGGGCAGACUAGAGUGUGGUAGGGGAGACUGGAAUUCCUGGUGUAGCGGUGAAAUGCGCAGAUAUCGGAAGGAACACCAGUGGCGAAAGCGGCUUCCUGGUCCAGCACCGACGUUCAGGCACGAAAGCGUGGGGAGCAAACAGG
rnacentral:rRNA from 1 species